UACAGAGGGGGCAAGCGUUAUUCGGAAUUAUUGGGCGUAAAGGGCGCGUAGGCGGCUUGGCAAGUGGAAGGUGAAAUCCCUCGGCUUAACCGAGGAACUGCCCUCCAAACUGCUUUGCUUGAGGCCGGGAGAGGUGAGUGGAAUUCCCAGUGUAGCGGUGAAAUGCGUAGAUAUCAGGAGGAACACCGGUGGUGUAGACGGCUCUCUGGACCGUAACUGACGCUGAGACACGAAAGCGUGGGUAGCAAACAGG
rnacentral:rRNA from 1 species